CCCUUACGUGGCAGCAGUGCAUUGGAUGGGUCAUUUGAGACGAAAGGUCUCGUGGCCGGUUGGUUUCAUUUUUUUUUUCAUCUUUGAUGUCAUCACAUCUCUUCCUCCUCUCUCUCUGUGGAAAUCUUCUUGAUGUUGUUCGAUCCGUAUGUUCGUCUUCUUUCCCAUCAGCGAGGAAACCACGUCGUCUCCGACAGAUAUCAUAGAGAUCUUUGGGCGAUUGCGGAAGGGAAGGACAUGAAGCUUUACCCACGAACGAUCGUGGAGGCGAAGGCGAUGCGAACGAUCUGAAGCCAGCAUCGGAACCAGUGGACUGGGAACAGAAAGGAACAGAGAUACCGUCGUGGAGGCGAAGGCGCCAUUCAUCUCCGGAAUCGGAUCGAGAAGCCUCACCGCCUCGAUCUCCAUGGAAACGAUCUUUGAUACGAUUCUUUGUGGUGAAAAUUCGACGGAUCCAGAGCUGAAGUCGGGUGUGGAGUAGGUUACUCCGACCUUCGCGGCGGAGAUCGUCGGCGGCGCCAUCAGUACCACCACCGUUACAGCGAUAACAAUGAUUGGAGCUGCGUGGGAGACUGUAAAUGAGAAGAGACAUAAAGAAGACAAAGGUCUUGCAGGGAGCAGCACGAUACAGAGGGCACACAUAGAUGUCAAACCAUCGAUCUUUAAGUUCAGAGGUAAGUAGAGACAAUCCUUUAAUAGUGUUAGACAUUGUUUAGAUUGGAAUUAAAUGGUCUUUAGGAGUAGAUACAUUGAUUGGCCUUGUUUACGUUAGAAUGAAAUGAACUUUUGAGGUGUUUUGGUUGUUUUAUAAUUAGGUAGAUACAUUGAUGAUUUGAUGGGCAUUUACACAUAACAAAUCCCAUACUCUCAUUAAGUUUGCUUUAAAACCCAACCAACUAUCCCUUUCUAAAUUCAUAUUUCUUUCAUCUCCAUCAAAUUCAAUAUCUCU